rfam:Phytophthora infestans T30-4 supercont1.24 genomic scaffold, whole genome shotgun sequence.
ACCCGUCUAGCUCAGUUGGUAGAGCGCUGGCCUUUUAAGCCAGUGGUCGUGGGUUCGAGCCCCACGGGGGGUG